rnacentral:pre_miRNA from 11 species
GCUUUUGGCAAAUGGAAUGCUGUUUUUGUCUCCAUAUGAAAGCCCCAGAGAGGGGAGACCUUCACUCAAGUCUCGGGAUAAGCCGAUGCCCCAAUAAUUCAAGAAAGACC